rnacentral:tRNA from 1 species
GGUGGCUCAGUGGUAGAGAGCUUGCCUUGCAUGCAUGAAGUCCUGGGUUCGAUUCCUCAGCACCA